AAAUAAACCAAGAGUUUUAGGGGCUAACUGCACGCUGUGAAAUUAAUGUUAGAUAGUAACAGCUUGCAUAUUACUAACUACUCUUGUUUGCAAUAGCUUAUCUCUGUAAUAGAUGCAUUGUUGUCUCAUUAUAAAGUAAUGUAUUUACAAGAGACAGGAAAAAAGGAUAAAGGGAGGAAAAAUCAGAACCAUAAAGGGAUCAGUACACUGUCUUUAUGUUUAAGUGCCAUUUUAGUGAAAAGAUCAAAGGCCCUGUGUAUGUUGGCAUAAUCCCAUCAGUACUCACCAUCACACGAUUCAUAGAAGCACUUUAAGCAACUCGUCCUACCAGUAUUUUUUGAGAUUCUUCAUAACCAGAUGGCAAGCACAUUCCUAGCUGCUUUUGGUUAGAAGGAUAACCUGUCAGACAUUUUCUUCAUGUUUUUGAUGGUCCCACCUGUUGGAGAAAGAAAAAAAAGCAUAGGUCAUCCAAGUCAAUGAACUUAGAUUCUCAUGUGG
rnacentral:lncRNA from 1 species